UACGGAGGAUGCAAGCGUUAUCCGGAAUGAUUGGGCGUAAAGCGUCCGCAGGUGGCAAUGUAAGUCUGCUGUCAAAGCGUCUGGCUCAACCAGAUAAAGGCAGUGGAAACUACAAGGCUAGAGUACGUUCGGGGCAGAGGGAAUUCCUGGUGUAGCGGUGAAAUGCGUAGAGAUCAGGAAGAACACCAGUGGCGAAGGCGCUCUGCUAGGCCGUAACUGACACUGAGGGACGAAAGCUAGGGGAGCGAAUGGG
rnacentral:rRNA from 1 species